ACGGCCUUGUCGUAGUAAGCCGUCGCAUAGACCUGAGAUAAGGCCACCAUUGGCACCGUUUCAAUUCUUGACAGNUGUCGGAGUAAGCCGUCGCAUAGACCUGUGAUAAGGCCACCAUUGGCACCGUUUCAAUUCUUGACAGUGCAGGAGCAAGCUGGGAGUACUUGAGGCAUUCUAUGACUGGCGACAUGUAGGAAUCAUACGCCAGUGGGUUCAGAUCAAUGACUAGGCAUUGUUGGGGUCGGAUGGGAAGAAUCUGAGAGGUUGCAUGAACAGAAGAAGAUUCAGCCAUUGUUGCAGGUUUGGAGAAGAAGAUGAACGGGAGAGUGUUUGGGAGUAUUUUUGCUUUGGGAAUUAUGGAGGCAGUAAAGAGGUAAAAGAUGGUGUAGACGGCCUUUUAUAGUGGGUGAUAGGAGAGAGAAAAAUCGUUUCAAAUCUCUUAUGGAAAUACGAAACGGGUUUUUGAGUGACUGAUUGGUGACGGUUGGGGCGUGCGAUGAUCACGUAGGAGAGAGAGUGUCAGUUUCCUAGGAUUACGCCGCCCAAUAAGCGCCGGUUCAGAGAGAGGAACCGUUUCCAUUUCCACACGCGCCUGUAAAGCCAGAGUGAUGACGCUUCGAUAUUGCACACGCGUCCUUAAGUGUCAGAAAAAGCGCGGCCGUUUCAAAUUCACGCGCCCUCCUUUUUACCGUCGUUUGAAUUUCUAUCCUUUUAACUCCCGCCGAGUCAGCAACUUUUUGUCUUAUCCCCUUUUAAACGGCUGUUUUCAAUUAAUGACCCACGUGGCUAAUUUUUGACCACAACUUCAUUAGUAACCAUCCAGUAAUAAUCCAGCCUGUAAAAUAAUUAGUAACGGAGUUUUUGAAAAUCUAGGAUUUUCGUGCAAAGAGUGUAAAAGAAAAAGAAAUAAAGCAACUCUUUUUAGGAUAAUCUGUGAUGUCAAUAAUGACACGAAACUGAUGAUCCCGGGCACGAAUCUCUUCCUUCAAGGUCAAGAGAGACCUCAAAGUGUUAGUGUGGAAUCCCGUUGAAUUACGAUCAAACAUUUAUUAAUAAAUGUUGAAAGGCUUCUUUUAAUUAGGCUAAUUAAGGGUGGUUUCGCUUUGAUUCAACAAUUCAAUUCUUGAUAUAAGAACGAAAGUGAACAAAGUACUUGUGAGACCGGUGUAGUCUGUUGAACAAGUAGGUUGGAGUUGAUUUUGUAGUGACUUGGAUUAAUAUGAAAUCUCAGAUAAAAAUUUAAAACUGGAUCCCUUGGGAAGAAAUGUUAUGGUGUGUAACAAUUUCAUUGGAAUCACGCAAAAAGAAAAAUUGAGAUUCCAUGAAGGUACAUUCGUCAAUUCAUUGGUGAAAACUUGAUCAAAUUAAUUGGUCACCGUCAAUUCGUUGGUGUUGAAUUUUGGGUUUCACUCAGCUCGUAGUGGCACGAAACUAAGAUCAUAAACACAGAUGUUGUGUAACCAUAAACCUCAGUGGUAGUUUCUGAGAGUCUCAAGGGUUACAGUGAUGAAACGAAUGUAAUGGAGAAGUGUAAUGGGGAUGGUGAAAGAAAACAUAGUACCUCUGCUGCGAAAAUAAGGACCAAGCAGGAAACUCUUAACUCAUG
rnacentral:lncRNA from 1 species